GCUUGCUCCUUGAUUCAGCGGCGGACGGGUGAGUAAUGCCUAGGAAUCUGCCUGGUAGUGGGGGACAACGUUUCGAAAGGAACGCUAAUACCGCAUACGUCCUACGGGAGAAAGCAGGGGACCUUCGGGCCUUGCGCUAUCAGAUGAGCCUAGGUCGGAUUAGCUUGUUGGUGAGGUAAUGGCUCACCAAGGCGACGAUCCGUAACUGGUCUGAGAGGAUGAUCAGUCACACUGGAACUGAGACACGGUCCAGACUCCUACGGGAGGCAGCAGUGGGGAAUAUUGGACAAUGGGCGAAAGCCUGAUCCAGCCAUGCCGCGUGUGUGAAGAAGGUCUUCGGAUUGUAAAGCACUUUAAGUUGGGAGGAAGGGCAGUAAGUUAAUACCUUGCUGUUUUGACGUUACCGACAGAAUAAGCACCGGCUAACUCUGUGCCAGCAGCCGCGGUAAUACAGAGGGUGCAAGCGUUAAUCGGAAUUACUGGGCGUAAAGCGCGCGUAGGUGGUUUGUUAAGUUGGAUGUGAAAGCCCCGGGCUCAACCUGGGAACUGCAUCCAAAACUGGCAAGCUAGAGUACGGUAGAGGGUGGUGGAAUUUCCUGUGUAGCGGUGAAAUGCGUAGAUAUAGGAAGGAACACCAGUGGCGAAGGCGACCACCUGGACUGAUACUGACACUGAGGUGCGAAAGCGUGGGGAGCAAACAGGAUUAGAUACCCUGGUAGUCCACGCCGUAAACGAUGUCAACUAGCCGUUGGAAUCCUUGAGAUUUUAGUGGCGCAGCUAACGCAUUAAGUUGACCGCCUGGGGAGUACGGCCGCAAGGUUAAAACUCAAAUGAAUUGACGGGGGCCCGCACAAGCGGUGGAGCAUGUG
rnacentral:rRNA from 1 species